CCUACGGGAGGCAGCAGUGGGGAAUAUUGCACAAUGGGGGAAACCCUGAUGCAGCGACGCCGCGUGAAGGAUGAAGUAUUUCGGUAUGUAAACUUCUAUCAGCAGGGAAGAAAAUGACGGUACCUGACUAAGAAGCCCCGGCUAACUACGUGCCAGCAGCCGCGGUAAUACGUAGGGGGCAAGCGUUAUCCGGAUUUACUGGGUGUAAAGGGAGCGCAGACGGCAGGGCAAGUCUGAUGUGAAAGUCCGGGGCUCAACCCCGGGACUGCAUUGGAAACUGUCCGGCUAGAGUGCAGGAGAGGUAA
rnacentral:rRNA from 1 species